AACGAACGCUGGCGGUGUGGAUAAGACAUGCAAGUCGAACGAGACUUUUCGUUGUAGCAAUACGAUGGAAAGUUUAGUGGCGAACGGGUGCUUAACACGUGGGCAACCUGCCAUGAAGUGGGGGAUAGCUCGCCGAAAGGCGAAUUAAUACCGCAUGUGAUUAGAAAGGACAUCCUUUCAAAAUUAAAGUCGGGGCAACCUGACGCUUCUUGUGGGGCCCGCGGCCUAUCAGCUAGUUGGUGAGGUAACGGCUCACCAAGGCUUUGACGGGUAGCUGGUCUGAGAGGACGACCAGCCACACUGGGACUGAGACACGGCCCAGACACCUACGGGUGGCAGCAGUCGAGAAUUUUUGACAAUGGGGGAAACCCUGAUCGAGCGACGCCGCGUGGAGGAUGAAGGUCUUCGGAUUGUAAACUCCUGUCAUUUGGGAACAAGGUGCACACGUUAACUGCGUGUGUAUUGAUAGUACCAGAAGAGGAAGAGACGGCUAACUCUGUGCCAGCAGCCGCGGUAAUACAGAGGUCUCAAGCGUUGUUCGGAUUCAUUGGGCGUAAAGGGUGCGUAGGCGGCGCGGUAAGUCGGGUGUGAAAUCUCGGAGCUUAACUCCGAAACUGCAUUCGAUACUGCCGUGCUUGAGGACUGGAGAGGAGACUGGAAUUUACGGUGUAGCGGUGAAAUGCGUAGAUNUCGUAAGGAAGACCAGUGGCAAGGCGGG
rnacentral:rRNA from 1 species